GACGUAGGGCGCGAGCGUUGUCCGGAUUUACUGGGCGUAAAGAGCGCGCAGGCGGUCGUUCAAGUCGCGUGUGAAAGCCCCCGGCUCAACUGGGGAGGGUCACGCGAUACUGAUCGACUCGAAGGCAGGAGAGGGAAGUGGAAUUCCCGGUGUAGUGGUGAAAUGCGUAGAUAUCGGGAGGAACACCAGUGGCGAAGGCGACUCCUGGCCUGUUCUUGACGCUGAGGCGCGAAAGCGUGGGGAG
rnacentral:rRNA from 1 species